AACGAACGCUGGCGGCAGGCCUAACACAUGCAAGUCGAGCGCCCCGCAAGGGGAGCGGCGGACGGGUGAGUAACACAUGGGAAUUUUCCUCAAGGUACGGAACAACUCAGGGAAACUUGGGCUAAUACCGUAUGAUGCAGAGAUGCCAAAGAUUUAUCGCCUUGGGAUAAGCCCGCGUCAGAUUAGGUAGUUGGUGGGGUAAUGGCCUACCAAGCCGACGAUCCAUAGCUGGUUUGAGAGGAUGAUCAGCCACACUGGGACUGAGACACGGCCCAGACUCCUACGGGAGGCAGCAGUGGGGAAUCUUAGACAAUGGGCGCAAGCCUGAUCUAGCCAUGCCGCGUGAUCGAUGAAGGCCUUAGGGUUGUAAAGAUCUUUCAGAUGGGAAGAUAAUGACGGUACCAUC
rnacentral:rRNA from 1 species